rfam:Tetrahymena thermophila SB210 genomic scaffold scf_8254028, whole genome shotgun sequence.
GCUUUGGUGAGUUGGACUGGUGUCCAGGACGGGCUUCAAACCCGUGGGUGUCGAAAGGCACAGGAGUUCGAUUCUCCCUCCGGAGC